rnacentral:rRNA from 1 species
GUGAAAUCUAUGGGCUUAACCCAUAGCCGUGCAUUUGAAGCUGUGUGUCUUGAGUGAUGGAGAGGUAAGUGGAAUUCCUAGUGUAGCCGGUGGAAUGCGUAGAUAUUAGGAGGAACACCCAGUGGCGAAGGCGACUUACUGGACAUUAACUGACGCUGAGGCGCGAAAGCGUGGGGAGCAAACAGGAUUAGAUACCUGGUAGUCCACGCUGUAAACGAUGAAUACUAGGUGUGGGGGGACUGACCCCUUUCCGUGCCGCAGUUAACACAAUAAGUAUUCCACCUGGGGAGUACGAUCGCAAGGUUGAAACUCAAAGGAAUUGACGGGGGCCCGCACAAGCAGUGGAUUAUGUGGUUUAAUUCGAAGCAACGCGAAGAACCUUACCAGGGCUUGACAUCCAACUAACGAAGCAGAGAUGCAUUAGGUGCCCUUCGGGGAAAGUUGAGACAGGUGGUGCAUGGUUGUCGUCAGCUCGUGUCGUGAGAUGUCGGGUUAAGUCCCAUAACGAGCGCAACCCCUAUUGAUAGUUGCCAGCGGGUAAUGCCGGGAACUCUAUCGAAACUGCCGGUGUAAACCGUGAGGAAGGUGGGGAUGACGUCAAAUCAGCACGGCCCUUAUGUCCAGGGCUACACACGUGUUACAAUGGCCGGUACAAAGGGCAGCUAUGCCGCGAGGCAAUGCUAAUCUCGAAAACCGAUCUCAGUUCGGAUCGAAGUCUGCAACUCGACUUCGUGAAGUUGGAUUCGCUAGUAAUCGGAUAUCAGCAAUGAUCCGGUGAAUACGUUCCCGGGCCUUGUACACACCGCCCGUCAAGCCAUGGAAGUCGGGAGUACCUGAAGUCGAUGACCGCAAGGAAUUGC